CCUAGAGAACUACCCACUUCUCUUUCUGAUCUAAAGCAUUGACUCUUGCGAAUUGCUAACACCACGACUCAGGAAUACAGGUGAGGGCUGGUCAAUUAUUGCUCACAUCGCCAAUGUAACUAUCGAUCGCAAGAAAGGCUGAUUCCUUAUAAUUUUCCACAACGAUGACUGAUAAAACUGAUCGUUCAAUACAUUGAGAAGAAUACUUAAUGUUCUAAGGUCAUGCUCAAAAAUCCUGCCUUUGAAGAAAUUAGUUUUCAUGUCUUCCAUUACCACAAUUAUUUGCACUAGAGAACCCGUGGCACCAGAUGUACUAGUUGAGGAGACAUGAGAGCUUCAUAACCUGUUUUCUGUGAGAAAUCAAAGGUGAGUACAUGUAUUUGACACUAGUACUGUACACCCCUAUAUAGGCGUGUUAAACCAUGAUCAUGGACUGUAUUAAUUUAGGCAUGUCAAAUAUAAUAAUUGCAAUUCUUAUGUGAGCUAUAAUGUCAAUUAGAUUCCAUAUGUUCAUAUUUGUGGUGCCAAGCCCUUGAUUUCUUAAAAACAAUGGAACACAGUGGCCAAUAAAAAACUAGAGGAUCAAUAACCUUGAAACUUUAACAAAUAAGCUAUCACAGUGGCCAAUCCUUAAUAGCUGUUUGCUUAUGGUAUUAUGAGUAGAAGGCAAAGUUGGAGGAGGCUUUGAUGGUUGUGACUUUUUGGGAAGAACUAUGUUGAAUAUGCGAGUAAAGUAGGUACAAGUUCAUUCCUUUCGUUUAUUAGUCGAACAUUGUUAAAUUAUUGAAUAUAAUGUCUAGUUCAAAUGUUCAAUUACUUGAAAAUGAAAAGAUAUAUGCUCUGUUAUAUUGAGUUUUUUUGUUAUGUUUCUUGUUUCGUCAUGCAUAAUCAUUUAUCUACUUCAUUAUAUUUCUUUAGUUUUUUCUUUUUGUUCAUGAAGAUUAAUUACAAAUAAUUUUAAAAGGUGUCCUGGAAUUCUGAUUUGUUCUUGUCCUUGUGAUUACACAUCCAAGAUGGUUAUGCUUUGGGCUUAGCAGUAUAAGAACAAUAAUCAAAGUCUUAGAUAUUUGCAUAUGGUUUUUGCAAGUCUUUUUCUCUAGUUUGUGAUAUAAACACUGGUUUUGUUUUGUUGUUUAGACUUUUUUGAUCAAUUUUACUUCUCGAUUAGAUGAAAGAGAAGUAUGUAUGUUUACCUUGUCUCCUGUUGUAGGUCAAUUGUAUUUUUGGGUAUUUAUUUCUUUCUCUGUGUUUUAAAUCAAUUGUGUGUUUUUUCUUUUUUAUGUUUUCAGGUGGUGGUACUCAUGAUGAUGAGGAUUUCAGAUUGUAUUUUGUAUUAAGCAUAAAUUAAUUAAGUUGAGUGUUUGUAUCUAUGUUUUUGUUCUUGAUAUUCUAAGUUUAAUUUUGUACUGGAUUUUAUUUCUAAUUUUGUAU